rnacentral:rRNA from 1 species
GACGAACGCUGGCGGCGUGCCUAAUACAUGCAAGUCGAGCGGAGUUGAAGAGGUGCUUGCACCUCUGAUGCUUAGCGGCGGACGGGUGAGUAACACGUAGGCAACCUGCCUACAGGACUGGGAUAACAUUCGGAAACGAAUGCUAAUACCGGAUAUGCGAUUUCUUCACAUGGAGAGAUCGGGAAAGACGGAGCAAUCUGUUACCUGUAGAUGGGCCUGCGGCGCAUUAGCUAGUUGGUGGGGUAAUGGCUCACCAAGGCGACGAUGCGUAGCCGACCUGAGAGGGUGAACGGCCACACUGGGACUGAGACACGGCCCAGACUCCUACGGGAGGCAGCAGUAGGGAAUCUUCCGCAAUGGACGAAAGUCUGACGGAGCAACGCCGCGUGAGUGAUGAAGGCUUUCGGGUCGUAAAGCUCUGUUGCCAGGGAAGAACACUUAGGAGAGUAACUGCUCUUAAGGUGACGGUACCUGAGAAGAAAGCCCCGGCUAACUACGUGCCAGCAGCCGC